rnacentral:rRNA from 1 species
UGGGGAAUUUUGGACAAUGGGGGAAACCCUGAUCCAGCAAUGCCGCGUGUGUGAAGAAGGCCUUCGGGUUGUAAAGCACUUUUAUUCGGAGAGAAAUCCCUUGGGCUAAUACCCUGAGGGUCUGACGGUACCGGAUGAAUAAGCGCCGGCUAACUACGUGCCAGCAGCCGCGGUAAUACGUAGGGCGCGAGCGUUAAUCGGAAUUACUGGGCGUAAAGCGUGCGCAGGCGGUUUUGUAAGACAGAUGUGAAAGCCCCGGGCUCAACCUGGGAAUUGCAUUUGUGACUGCAAGGCUAGAGUGUGUCAGAGGGAGGUGGAAUUCCGCGUGUAGCAGUGAAAUGCGUAGAGAUGCGGAGGAACACCGAUGGCGAAGGCAGCCUCCUGGGAUAACACUGACGCUCAUGCACGAAAGCGUGGGGAGCAAACAGG